rnacentral:misc_RNA from 1 species
AGUAAAACAGUACGUGAAAUUGUUGAAAGGGAAACGAUUGAAGUCAGUCAUGCCGGCGUUGGAUUCAGCUUGCUUCGCGGAGCUUGCGCAUUUCCUCGCAUGGCAGGUCAGCGUCAGUUUUGCGCGACGUGAAAAGGCUCGGGUAAGGUAGCUCUCUUCGGGGAGUGUUAUAGACCUGGGCAAAUGCGCAGCGCGGGACUGAGGAUUGCAGCGGACACCUCUUCGGAGGCGCGGCGACCGAACCCUGCUCGGCCACCCUCGUUCGAUAGCGUGCUAGCGGACGCGGGAGCGGCAGUGCACCGGAACAGGCAAGCCAGCGGUUCGCUUAGGAUGCUGACGUAAUGGCUUUAAA